rnacentral:rRNA from 1 species
CUUGCUUCUCUUGAGAGCGGCGGACGGGUGAGUAAAGCCUAGGAAUCUGCCUGAUAGUGGGGGAUAACGUUCGGAAACGGACGCUAAUACCGCAUACGUCCUACGGGAGAAAGCAGGGGACCUUCGGGCCUUGCGCUAUCAGAUGAGCCUAGGUCGGAUUAGCUAGUUGGUGAGGUAAUGGCUCACCAAGGCGACGAUCCGUAACUGGUCUGAGAGGAUGAUCAGUCACACUGGAACUGAGACACGGUCCAGACUCCUACGGGAGGCAGCAGUGGGGAAUAUUGGACAAUGGGCGAAAGCCUGAUCCAGCCAUGCCGCGUGUGUGAAGAAGGUCUUCGGAUUGUAAAGCACUUUAAGUUGGGAGGAAGGGCAUUAACCUAAUACGUUAGUGUUUUGACGUUACCGACAGAAUAAGCACCGGCUAACUCUGUGCCAGCAGCCGCGGUAAUACAGAGGGUGCAAGCGUUAAUCGGAAUUACUGGGCGUAAAGCGCGCGUAGGUGGUUUGUUAAGUUGGAUGUGAAAUCCCCGGGCUCAACCUGGGAACUGCAUUCAAAACUGACUGACUAGAGUAUGGUAGAGGGUGGUGGAAUUUCCUGUGUAGCGGUGAAAUGCGUAGAUAUAGGAAGGAACACCAGUGGCGAAGGCGACCACCUGGACUAAUACUGACACUGA